CCUACGGGAGGCUGCAGUGGGGAAUAUUGGACAAUGGGCGAAAGCCUGAUCCAGCCAUGCCGCGUGUGUGAAGAAGGCCUUCGGGUUGUAAAGCACUUUCAGUGGGGAAGAAAGCCUUGGGGCUAAUACCCUCGAGGAAGGACAUCACCCACAGAAGAAGCACCGGCUAACUCCGUGCAAGCAGCCGCGGUAAUACGGAGGGUGCGAGCGUUAAUCGGAAUUACUGGGCGUAAAGCGCGCGUAGGCGGUCUGAUAAGCCGGUUGUGAAAGCCCCGGGCUCAACCUGGGAACGGCAUCCGGAACUGUCAGGCUAGAGUGCAGGAGAGGAAGGUAGAAUUCCCGGUGUAGCGGUGAAAUGCGUAGAGCUCGGGAGGAAUACCAGUGGCGAAGGCGGCCUUCUGGACUGACACUGACGCUGAGGUGCGAAAGCGUGGGUAGCAAACAGGAUUAGAUACCCGUGUAGUC
rnacentral:rRNA from 1 species